rnacentral:lncRNA from 1 species
UGAUCAUGAACUGAUUAGUUAAGAGAAGGAGAGGGGGCCAGACUCCAACAAAAGUCAGAUUUUGGUUGAAGUCAGAGAGAGGUUGUGAGAUUGCCAUCCCUUGACAUCUUUUUAAAAGUGAAUUGUUUAAUCACUUUUUUUUAAGCUGAUUUCUUAGCCAUCUUGCAGAAAUAUGAGGCAGGGGCACUUAUCCAUUAGGUACAGUAGGUAAGGUAACUAAGCCCAAUGACACCCUUAGCAGCCCAUGAAAAUGGUUUAGUUUCUUUCAUAAAAUGGUGCUGAAGAUAAUGAUAGUUGCAAAGGAAAAAAUACGGUAGACCAAUAUCAUAGUAUGUUACCAAGCAUAGGGCCUAUUAUUGGAAGCUAUUUCCAGUGCUCAGGAUAUUAACAUCUCCUGGAGCGUCUGCAAAACACAUCUUGAAGGCAGAACCAUAGUCCUCAAUUUGGCCUGCCUCUUUUAUUUGACAAUAAAGUUUUAUUUAUUUCUGAGCAUAAGAUUGGGAUUUUAUUUCUAGAAAAAGGGAGAAAAGGUGGAAGGAGGAGGAGGCAGGGAAAAGGUGGAAACUUGCCCAGGCCCAUAGCAGGAGCCCAACACAGGGAACACUUAAGCUUGUGUAGAGUACUUGUAACCAGAAGCCCGGAGGUGGAGCACAGCAGAGGAUGCAAUGUGCCACUGUCGCGGCCAGAGCCCAUGCAGUGUAAACAUUAACAUUCUUGGAUGCACUAAGCACUGGGCUGCGGUCUACACUUGCAUUCUGAGGUGGUGGAGUCAUGGCCAAAAUUUUGGAGUACUUGGACUUUUCUCAAGAAGCGUUGCACUUCUUGUCCGGACCGGGGAUUACCGCAGAUCGCAGCCCAGAGUCUGCGGAGGCGCACCGUUUCAUCAACAGCAGGGACUGAAACUUCAGCCCAGGAGAAGCCAAGAUGGCACCGUUAUCGCACCCUGGGAAUCGAGGACCGGGAAGAACUUAAUGAUGCGAUUCCUCCCGUGAUCUCAGUGAUUGUAUCAGGCGAAAACGAGGAGGGCAAAAUACCGUCCAGAUGUAAACUAGGAGCAGCCGCACCAGCAGCACCAGCAGAAUGCCGUGGUAGUGCGGCAGGCCCUGGCCCCAUGGACAAAGAGAAACUCGUCAGUGGCAGUGGCCACGAACUCAGAAAGCCUGAGGACAGUCAGCAGCUCCUCUGGCUCUUCACUUUCACACUGGUGCAACUACAGGAGCUGAAGAACAUUUUUCAACUCGUUCCAUACCCGGACGUGUUAGGUAAGUGGCAUGCUUAGGCGGCACCGACUUUUCACGGAGCAGGGGCUGGGCUCAGGGCUUAUUCUCUUUCCCCAGGCCCCUUCCAAACCUUUCUGAGCCAAAAGCUACCUAGGGGUUUCAAGGCUGCUGGGGCCUGUUUGCCCUUGGGCUUCAGGGUGGAGGCAAUGCCUCCUGGACACCAAGGUAAAUAUUUUCAAGCAACAUUUAAAUGAAUCAAGUGGGGAAACUUUGGCCUGAUAACUAGGUUUGUAUAAAUAGAAUUUGAUUGGAACAAGAACCAUGAUCAGGGUGAGGAGAGUAAGGCAUGGUCGUGCAAGUGGAUGGGCAAAUUCUGGUUUUAUGUAAAUAUUUGAUAAUUUGCUCAUAAUAUUUUUGAUUUUUCAGAGUAGUGCAAAAAGUGUUAUUUUUCUGGAAUCCUGAGUUUUUUUGUGCCCCCUUACAUUCACUAUGGGGGAAAAUCAUUCCUAAAGAAAGCCUCAAUCUGGAUAUUACAAAAUAGUGUACUCGGGGAGAGGUGUUGGGAGGUAAGUAUUUAAAAGCAAGCUUGAAAUGAACAACAUAAAUUUUGUUUCAUCCACAACUCUAAAUACUGAAUCUUUGUGGUUUUCUCUCACCAGAAAGGGACUUGUAAGAUGCAUGAGCAUGACUGAAACCAGUGUGCAGGUCACUAUACCUGAAAAAACUUAUUUGGCAGGGCAGCCAUUCUACAAUCUGCUUCAAGAGGAUCAGAUUCAUCAUUGGACUCCUGGACCUAUCACUGCGGACCUCAAAUGUGCACCUUUUAAGCCCUUUCCUUCACUCCUGACUGAUUGAUUUGGGAUCCACUGCUAAGUCAGACUUUUGAACCAUUGUUCCAGGCAAACUUCUGUUAAAGCUGAUGGAGUCUCCCUCUGUCGCCCAGGCUGGAGUGCAGUGGCGCGAUCUCGGCUCACUGCAACCUCCACCUCCCGGUUUUAUGCGAUUCUCCUGCCUCAGCCUCCCGAGUAGCUGGGACUACAGUGGCCUCAGGGAUAUGGAAUUAAGAUCCACCUGGUGUGAUGAAUAAACCCAGACUCUCAGCAACGCAGGAAAAAAAAAACAAAAACUGGCUGGCGAUCUGGAGUAAAGGAUCCUCACAUCCACGUGAACCAGGAAACUCUGUGCCCAAAUCGACGAAAAAAAAACACUGGGAGAGCCGGUAAAGUAUUUCCUUGGGGUGGUUAAAAAGAGGUGAGAAAUCCCCAUUGGGGGGGUUAAACCUUAAAAAGAGGUAAGAAAUCCCCAUUGUAGGGGUUGAACCUCAAAAAGAGGUGAGAAAUCCCCAUUGGGGGAUUGAACCUCAAAGAGGUGAGAAAUCCCCAUUGUGGGGGUUGAAUCUCACACAAACCUCCGGUAGUAAAUAUAUAUUCAAAACUCCCCUUUCCUCUCUUCUCAGGAAAAGAAAAAGGCUAAGCUCCACUCCCACCAGUUGCUCCCCUAGGGGAAGGGGAAGGAGAGGGGGGAAAACAGCAGCAUAGGUGGCUGGCAGAGGCGAAGUCCAGCAGGGAGGAAAAAGAAACCAGGAAAGGAAGUCAGAGAGAAAGAGCAAAAACAGCAAGCGUGACACCAGACAGGCGCACCAAGGGUUAAGUCCCUCUCCCCAGCCCAGCUCUAUGUGAAAAAGAGGGUGGGGAACGGCGCCAGGAGGAGAGCAGAGGAGGUGAAAGGGCAUAAUUAUUGCAACUUGCAGCAGGCAUCUGCCAAGCCUCUGGGCCAGUGAUGGCCCGGGGUCUGGACUGCAGCCCCACAAAUCCCACCCAGCCCAAGAAACUGAGUGUAAGAAGAAAGGAAAAAAGUAAAAAGGGAAAUUGGGAAAAGAAAAAAAAAGCAGAUGAAACAGACGGCAGUGUGUGUGUGGGGGCGGGACCCAUGCCAUUGCCCGGCCUUGCCGGCCGGCAGGAGCAGGAGAACUUGGGAGGGAAAAAGGAACAAGGGAUGACGGAGAGAGAGAGAAAAAAAGAGAGUGCAAAUGAGAGAGAGAAAUAGAGGGAAAGAAUAAGUAAGAGACAGAAAUCAAAGAAAGACAGAGGGUGAAACUAGGAAAAGAAAUAGUGUAAAAGGAAGGCAGAAAGUUAAGACAUGUUGAAGAUUGUCUGUGAAAGUCGUAAGAAAGGUUAUAAAGGGAAUUUAUGCAAGAAAUAUUGUAUAAUUUAAAAGUAAUUAGGCCUCCUGAAUGUAAAACUAUUAAAAAAACAGUUUAUGUACAAAGUAUGUAAGAAAAAUAAAAUAUACUUUUAAUAAAAGGAUUAUAAGGAGGCAUAAGAAUAUGGAUUUUUACCUACAUUAAAAGGUUUAAAAAUUUUUGUUUUAAAGGUUUAAGCAAGUUUUAACAUGUUAAUUGUAAAGGAAAUUCUGUGUGUAAACAUUUUGGCUAAAGGUAAAGGGUUUAUCAUCCAGUUUUGCUGUGAACUGAACAUUAAAAUAAAACCACAAUAGUUUAUUCUUAAAGCACUAACCUGCUCUUUAACAAAAAAUUUAACAUGUUAAAAAGAGUCUAUAAAAAUCUUACCUUAUAGUCAGACAUUAAAAUUGGAUAAUAUCUACAAGAUUUUAUUAAAAUUAAGUUUAACAUUAAUAGCACAUUAAUAUAAAGGUAAAAUUUAACUUACCUGGUACAAAAUCAUACAAAAAGCAUUGUCAAAUAUAAAAUGGUGUUUAGCUUUCUUAAGGUCCGAGGGCAGCUGGGUAAGUCACAAGCUCCUCAUCCCCAAGGCCACAAUGUGCAGGGGAGAUGAAGGCCACUAGAAGGCCAAGACCUUAAGAGGGGGCAGGGCUGCAGCAUCCUGUGAGUGGUGCUGAGCAGGAAUGGAGUGGGAGGCAUCACCAUGGGACCUCAAGCCCCAGAAUAUGCAGCAAAAAUUAUAUACUUUUUAUCUUCCACUUUCCCUUCCCUCAGAACUAAAAGUCUUUUAGCACGGGUACCAGCCCUAGAAUUUCCAGUACACCAGCAGCAGCCUGGAAACCACAUCCUCAUCAAAAGACAGAAAGAAAAAAACUCGAGCCAGCCUGAGAAGGACCCUAUUUUAUGCUGUUAACCACUGAGACUGCCAUCCUCACAGCUGAGAAAGGAUGGACCCACCAUACUCAAGUCAAGAAAACAUCUUCCUCGUCAGAAUCAUGGGUUACUGUACUAGGAUUAAGCCUUACUAAGUUAAAGUUAAAGAAAGCUUAAUUUUCAUAUACCUUCUAUAUUGCUUCUUUUCCUUUCCUUAUUCUGUUACUAGCUCCUUUGUUAUUAAUGUAACUAAGUCUGAGUCACCUCAGACCAUUGCCUUUUAUGCUUGCUCUGUCAUACCUUGUGGAAAUGUAAAAGAUCAAUGACAGCUAGCCUUUUCACACAAUUAUUUAUGCCUCGGCCCUCUAAUUGACACAGUUACCCCUAGCACUCAUCGUUGUGAUCACCUGCAGCCAAGACGCUGAUUUUCUGCUCCUAUAGCCUGGCAACCUUGUGGUACAUGGGACUACGUCCUUUAAACUACCCAGGAGCAAAGUUGGACUUCCAUGAAAAAGGUUUGUGCAGAUCUAAAACCUCUCAUCUAUUUCACUAAAAGGACUUCCCCUUCUAACUGUCACCCUUACCAAUGUAACCCUGUCCUCUCUAUCACCACCUCCACCUGUCUUUAACUAACUCUAGACCUGUCCUUAAUUGCUUUUAUGGUAUUGGAAUAGGAAUUAAAAGAAAUUAAAGAAUGUGUAAGGAGAAACUCAGUUGUAUGUAAGAAAACCCAAUUCCCCCUGAGAAAGAGAAAGAGUUGGAGUCCUUUAAAAAUUAACUGCCUGUUUUUCUGUGGCUAGUGAGCCUUAUCUCUCCUCCUUUCCCAGACAUUGUGAAGACCCUGUUUCUCUAGCUGUGCAGCUGCAAGGUCACUAGACAGAUAAACUCAAGUUGUAAAACAUGUUUUUCCUUGAAAAGUAAGAAAUGCUGUAAUGCAUUUCUCAAUUAAUUAAAUAACUGUCUUUGUUUCUCGCUUCUGUAAUAUGCUUCCCCCUGCACAGAUCUCCACCCACCCUACAAAAUGCUUAAAAGGUAACUUAACUCUUUGUUCUGGGCUCAGUCCUUUGGGCUGAGUACUGGGCCGGUGCACCUAAAUAAUAAAUAUCUUCCUGAACCCCAUUUGUCUCUCUGAUUCCUUAAAAAAUCCCGCAACAUUUCUGGGGACUCGCCUGGGAUUGGAGACGACAGAUUUACUGUCUCCUUUGCCUGUGGGGACUAGAGCCCAAGGACCGGGGGAGACCCGGCAUCCAAGGUGUAUCACAGGGGAGCUUCACCCAGACAGAGAUAGGCUCUCCCCGCAUCCCAGUGGCCUGCCCAGCAGUGCAAUGGAACCGGGGAUGGGGCUGCAGGAAGAUACCAGCACUUCAGGAACCGCUGUAAGGAGCAAGGGCCCAAGGCAUGAAAGCCCAUCCCAUAAGGAUGAAGGGGAG